rnacentral:lncRNA from 1 species
GCAUGAGGCCGGCGGGGGCGGGUCCUCGGGCGGGGGCGGUGGGGCCGAGGUUCCCUGGCGGCGCGGCAAGGGGCUAGAGCUCCACUCGUGGCACGCGGCGUGGUCCCUGGCAGGCAGGGCGAGCUCCCUUGGCGGCGGCGUGGUCCGUGGUGGGCAGGGCGAGCUCCCUUGGCGGGUGGGGCGAGCUCCAGUGCCGGUGGGGCGAGCUCCCACUGCGGGCUGCCAUCACACCGAGGAAGAAGAUGAAGUUGUUAGAAUGACUGGUGGGGCCCGCUAACGGGAGCUAACAGAAGCUACAAACGGUGCUCGUCCCCUCUACCGUAAAACCUCCAACCAAACAAAAAAUGAGGAUGAACCUGUCCUUCUCAAUCAAACAUGAGUUGGGACCAUCCCAUCCCAAAAACUUGGGAUAGGAUCAACCCAUCCCAUCUCGUCUCCAAACGAAACACGUGCUUACCGUCCCAAGGCCGCCGGCGAGUCGCCGGAAUUUCGGCCGGCCGCCGCCACACGCGCGCCCGGGGACCCGAUUGUGGUUGAGAAACUCGAAUUAGGGGCUUUAGUGGAAAACUCAGGGACCCCUGCACAAAUAAAGUAUAGACGUGAGGGUUAGAUCGCAAGUUUGCCUCGGAGUUUUGUUUUGUUUUUGGCAGAAAUAGAAUAAACUUUGUAAAUGCACUAAACAUCGUAGAAAAAUCAAAAAAAUGUUAAAUUAAUUUUGCUAGACUCUGUAUGAAGUGUAGUUUCUUAUAAAAAUAAUUUU